AUUGAACGCUGGCGGCAUGCUUUACACAUGCAAGUCGAACGGUAACAGGCCGCAAGGUGCUGACGAGUGGCGAACGGGUGAGUAAUGCAUCGGAACGUGCCCAGUCGUGGGGGAUAACUACUCGAAAGAGUAGCUAAUACCGCAUACGAUCUAUGGAUGAAAGCGGGGGACCGUAAGGCCUCGCGCGAUUGGAGCGGCCGAUGUCAGAUUAGGUAGUUGGUGGGGUAAAGGCUCACCAAGCCAACGAUCUGUAGCUGGUCUGAGAGGACGACCAGCCACACUGGGACUGAGACACGGCCCAGACUCCUACGGGAGGCAGCAGUGGGGAAUUUUGGACAAUGGGCGCAAGCCUGAUCCAGCAAUGCCGCGUGCAGGAAGAAGGCCUUCGGGUUGUAAAAUGCUUUUGUACGGAACGAAACGGCUCUGGUUAAUACCCGGGGCUAAUGACGGUACCGUAAGAAUAAGCACCGGCUAACUACGUG
rnacentral:rRNA from 1 species